AGUGCACGCUGGCGGCGUGCCUAAUACAUGCAAGUCGAACGCAGUGGCGCACGGGUGAGUAAUAUUUAGUUAAUCUGCCCUACACACAGGAACAACAGUUGGCAACGACUGCUAAUACCUCAUAGUGUAGGAUGAGACUAUAUCGUAUCAGCUAGUUGGUAAGGUAAUGGCUUACCAAGGCUAUGACGCGUAACUGGUCUGAGAGGAUGAUCAGUGACGUAGGAACUGAGACGCAUUAGAAACGCAGACGGGGGGCAGCAGUAAGGAAGAGUGCGCGAUCGGGGAAACGCUGAGGCAGGAACGCGGCGUGGAGGAUGACGCUGUAGGGAGCGUAAACGCCUGAUAGCUGGAAAGGGGUAGCUGAUGAAGAAGCACCGGCGGACUCCGUGCCAGCAGCCGCGGUAAUUC
rnacentral:rRNA from 1 species